rnacentral:misc_RNA from 1 species
ACAGGUCAGUUUGUCCAUUGUAACUUGAGUGAUUAGUGAGCUUGAGUUUAUGAGGUGCGAGCUGGAAUUAUAAUGCAUUGUGAUACUUCAAAUGAAAAGUCAGAAACUCCCGAACUCUGUCUUAAUUUUCUCUCUGGAUUCUUCUUCUUCUUCUCUUUCUUUUCCAACUGCUCAUUUUCUUUUCACUUUUUCCCCUCACUCUCUAUUCCAUUCUCUCCAAAGGUUUUUCUCUGAUCUGAGCUUUACUCCAACCUAAAUGAGUGGAGUUCCUUUACAGGAUAUCCCUAGAUGUUAUUCCUAUCACAAAGUCGUACUUGUCAUAACACUAUGAGCAAAUGGUGCGGAUCAUCCUAUUUCUUAUAAUUGUCAUGCUUUUCCCCCAGUUAUGCAUACACUGGAGUGAACAUGUCAUCCAAGCAAAAUGAUGUCGAAUGCUUUUCAGAUUGUUAUGUUCUGUGUGAUGUUGAAUGCUAUUGCAACCUUUCAGAUUGUUAUGUUCUUUGUCUUAGUGUUUCGUUUCCUUGCUUAUGUUUUCAAGACUGAUGAGUUCCUUUUUGCAUGAUCUGUUGGUCUGUGCCAUCCUUGCAACAGAUAUUGUGAUCAUGCCAGUCUAACUGCCUUCAUGUUUCUUGGAUGUAUAAGUUAUUCAGAAACUAAACUUCAAUUCUAUCUGCAUUUUUGGUUUUUGACAACUUGAUAAUGACACAUUCUAAUAUCUUAUUUUUCUGCUCAAAUUUUGAAUGGCUUCCAACUGAAAUAUUGCAGAAAUUGUGGCUUGCUGGAUUUUCAAGGGGCAUCCAGGAGAUGCAC